AUGGAGGCGCUUUCUGAGAUUCGUGCUGAGGAGACUCGCUUACGUGGUGCUGGUUUGCUGGAGGUUCCCUCUGUUCUUACUACUCGUGCUUCUACGCCACUUGCUCCACCGACCCCUUCUCGCUCGAGUGCUCCGCCGCUCUUGCCCACUCCUUCUGGAGGCUCAGGUCGCCCCCGUCCACAUUGCGCCUAUUGCAACAAUGAUGGUCAUCUUGAGUCUCAGUGCUACACGAAGAAGAAACACCUGCGCAAGGCUCGAUCAUCAUCUUCAGGGACUUCGUCAUCUACCUCGACAGCUUCAGCCAUUGCUUUGACUGAGCAGGAUAUUCUAAGACUUAAGCGUCUGCUUGCGGCUUCAGGUUCUUCCUCGACGGGUACUGCUGGUUCUGUGACUGAUGCUUCCCGCACUGAGCGAUCACCCUCUACACAGUCAGGUACAUCCUCAUGGGUUCUGGACUCUGGAGCUUCUUUUCAUAUGUCUUCUCAUUCUUCCAUUUUGUCCUCUCUUAGAUCACUCGAUUCUCCUAUUCAUGUCCUCACUGCUGAUGGUACUCCCCUUUCUGUUGCUAGUAGAGGCAAUCUUACUACUCCUUCUUAUUCUGUUCCUGAUGUUGCUCAUGUUCCUCGACUUACCAUGAAUUUGUUUUUUGCUGGUCAACUUACGGAUUCUGGUUGUCGCGUUAUCCUUGAUGUUGACUCUUGUUCUGUCCAGGACCGUCAUACGCACACUCUGGUUGGGGCUGGCCCUCGCCGCCGUGAUUCUCAGGGUCUUUGGGAGUUGGACUGGCUUCAUGUUCCUUCUGCUGCCACCACCAUCGCCGGUUCUCCCGCUUCUGUUGCCUCCGUCACUGGUUCUUUCCAGCAGUGGCAUCAUCGACUUGGUCAUCUGUGUGGUUCUCGGUUGUCUUCUUUAGUUCGUCGAGGCCUUCUGGGGUCUGUCUCAGGAGAUGUCUCUUUAGAGUGUCAGGGUUGUCGUCUUGGCAAGCAGAUUCAGUUACCAUAUUCACAUAGUGAGUCCGUGUCUAAGCGUCCUUUCAAUUUAGUCCAUUCUGAUGUAUGGGGUCCGGCCCCUUUCGCUUCGAAAGGUGGUCAUAAAUACUAUAUUAUUUUCAUAGAUGAUUUCUCUCGUUACACAUGGCUUUAUUUCAUGACUUCUCGUUCUGAGGUGUUGUCUAUUUAUAAGCGUUUUGCUGCCAUGGUUCAUACUCAGUUCUCUUCACCCAUUCGUGUUUUUCGUGCUGACUCUGUUGGCGAGUAUAUCUCUAAGAUGUUGCGUGGUGUUCUUGCUGAGCACGGGACUCUCUCUCAAUUCUCUUGUCCUGGUGCUCAUGCUCAGAAUGGUGUGGCUGAGCGAAAGCAUCGACAUCUUCUUGAGACGGCUUGUGCAUUGAUGAUUGCUGCCUCUCUCCCGCCUCAUUUUUGGGCUGAGGCCGUCUCCACAUCCACCUAUCUUAUCAAUAUACAGCCUUCCGCUGCUCUAUAG
rnacentral:rRNA from 1 species